rnacentral:rRNA from 1 species
CGGAGGAUCCAAGCGUUAUCCGGAAUCAUUGGGUUUAAAGGGUCCGUAGGCGGUUUAGUAGGUCAGUGGUGAAAGCCCAUCGCUCAACGGUGGAACGGCCAUUGAUACUGCUAAACUUGAAUUAUUAGGAAGUAACUAGAAUAUGUAGUGUAGCGGUGAAAUGCUUAGAGAUUACAUGGAAUACCAAUUGCGAAGGCAGGUUACUACUAAUGGAUUGACGCUGAUGGACGAAAGCGUGGGUAGCGAACAGGAUUAGAUACCCUGGUAGUCCACGCCGUAAACGAUGGAUACUAGCUGUUGGGGGCAACUUCAGUGGCUAAGCGAAAGUGAUAAGUAUCCCACCUGGGGAGUACGUUCGCAAGAAUG